AGAGGAGCUGCUUAAGCAGAAAAGGUUAGACUACAAGCAAGUUAAAGGCAAGAUGUGCCGACAAGGGAGCCCUUUAGGCAGUAACAUUCUAACAGCACAAUAAAAAUCCUGUCCUCCUGAGAUUUGAAGUUCAAUAUGCAGGCCCCUUCUUUGAGCUCCUACUGAACUCCACGCACUGGAUGAAGCACCAAAUACUUGAACAUGAACAGAAGCUACAUUAUGUCCUCAAAGCUAACCUUUCACCCUUAUUUUGUUGCCUUCCCCUCCCAAGUCAAUGUACUAAGUUCAUUCAUUUUGACCCACUUCUUUCAGAGACCCCCUCUUCAUCACUCAUAUCACGAGAUGCUCUUUCAUCCCCUCCCACACUGGCCCAUUUCACACUGACAGACGUUUCUCUUCUGGAAAUGACAAGUGGGAGCCCCAAACACUGUGCCCAUCGAUGCUUGCUUGGAAUAAAAAUACUGAUAACUCAGAAUGUUGACCUCAUAAUCAAACA